rnacentral:tRNA from 1 species
GAGCGGGUCGCACAGUGUUUAGGGCAUUAGCCUUGCAAAUCUGAUGGUCUUGGGCUUGAACCCCCAUCCUGCUCU